UUUCCCGGACUUGGAUUUAAAGGGACAGGAACUGCGUAAUGGGAAGGCGCCCAGCACCCAGGGUGCUCUCUGCAGCUCCGGGCGCCGCGAGGCGAAGCCCGGGAGACCAGGCCCGGCGGUGGGGGCGCCCCGCCCGUCUCCGCGCCGCCGCCCCGCGCCCCGUGCUCGGUGCCCGGCCACCCUGCGACGCUGCCCGGGACCUGACCGGAGAGGGUUCCUCGCCCACAGGUGGUUUCCCCACGAGACAGUCCAUCCUUCCUCACCGACAGUUUGGGUGCGCACGUGGCUGAGGGGGCGCUCGCUUCAGAAAACAUGUAUUUGAAGAAUGUCCGUUCCCCGUAAAUUAACGUAAAGUCUGGCCCCAUGCUCUUGUCCAGGAUAAGGGCACCCCAAUCCCAUUCCUCCAGGCCGCCCCGGCCAUCAGGUAGCCCCCCACUGCGGAGGCGGGCGCUUUGGGAGAACCAAGUGGGACCGCCGUCUCCCUCCAUACACACUCCCACCCCACCCCAGGUGACGGUGUCCGGUUCCUGAAUCCGAGUAUCCCGGGACCGAUUUAAAAUGCAUUUCCUGGGCCGUAAGUCUGCAGGCAGGGGCCGCGUUCCCAGCUCUCCGGGAACGUGUGCGGCAAAUGGCAGCAGCGCAGGGAGAUCGCAUGGGCUCCUGAGUAAUCGGAGCGCGGGCUGGUGGCCGGGCCGAGGGGAGCCAGGACGUGCCAGCCGGGCGGCGCAGCCUGGGAUCCAGCCCCGGAAGAGCCUCUUCCCGGGACCAGGAAGUUUUCUGGUUGCAGCUCCAGGAAGGCGUCCCGGUUUCCCCCUGCGUAAAGAAGGCCCCUCCCCACGUCCCUGGGAGCCAGCCCCCUUCAGAGAGCUCAGCUGCAGUGCAGUCACCUGUCUGGUGUGUGCGUGCUCACCCCGACACUGUGUGAUGUCUGCAAUGAGGUCUCCUAUGUGCUCUGAGGCAUGAGGCUGACGGUCCUACGGAGAGGUGGGCGGGCUGAUGCUGGAGCUGGAACCGAGUCACCAUGCUGUGAGGAAGCCCAAGCAGCACCUGGAGCAGCGCCCAGGGAGAGACCCGGGACCCGCAGUGCACAGCCCUGCUGCACCUUGGCCAGCACAGGCACCAUGGGACAGCCUGGACUGUGCCACCUUGACAGGCGCUCUGGUCAGCCUCCCAGCCACUGCCUGGAGCAGGGCCACACCCCAGAGCUUCCCCACCAUGCGUGGCCAUGAUUUCAAUUUCCUCUUUCUUUUUUUAUUGAGAUAAUUGACAAAGAGCAUCACAUUAGUUUCAGGUAUACAACAUAAUAAUUGGACAGUGAUGGCCACAUCGCCGAAUGAUGGCCACAGCGAGUCUCAUGAGCACCUGUCACCUUGCAUAGUUAUAGGAUUUUUUUUUCUUGUGAUGAGAACUUUUGAAAUUUACUCUCAGCAACUUUCAAAAAUGAAAUACAGUACCAUGACGCGUAGCCACCAUGCUGUACAUCAGGUCCCCAGAACUCCCUUUAUAGCUGGCAGUUUGUGUCUCUUGAUCCCUUCACCCAUUCCACCCACACCCCACCCCCUGCCUCUGGUGACCACCACUCUGUUGUCUGUCUGUGACUUUGGAUUUUUGUUGUUGUUUGUUUGAGUCCACAUAUAUGUGAGGUCAUAUGGUAUUUUUCUUGCCGUGUCUGCUUUGUCUCCCUCAGCAGAAAGUCCUCAAGGUCCAUCUUUGAGAACAACAUUCAUUCUCUCUCUCUCUCCCUCUUUUUUUUUUUGGCUGAGUGAUAGUGCGUUGUGUAUAUGUACCACAUUUCCUUUAUCCAUCCAUCUGUCGAUGGACACUUGGGUUGCUUCCAACACAUUUCAGUUUCUGAACAAAAUGAAUGACUGCAAGGGUCAGGUGCGCUGCAGCUCAGAGCCUCACUCUGGCCCAUGCCUGCUGGAAGGAACAAAGCUGGGCUGGAACACAAGCCCACCCAUCCCUCUACAUGUGGUUAUAGCUGCUGGCACACUGUGUGUGUGAUGGCGGAGCUGAACAAGUUUCCACGGAAACCACAUGGCCCAUAAAGCCCCAAGUAUUUACCAUCUUGUCCUUUACCAAAAAAGUUUGCCAAGCCCUGUGUAUUCAUCUGCUCAGGCUAAGGUAACCAAAUACCGUGGACCGAGUGGCUUAAACAAUAGACAUUCAUUCGUUUCUCACUGUUCUGGAGGCUGGACGUCUGAGGUCAGGGAGCCAUCGUGGCUGGGUUCUGGUGAGGGCCCUCUUCCUGGCUCGCAGACAGCGCCUUCUCUCUGCGUCCUCAUGUGGCACAGAGAGUGAGGAAGCUCCCCGGUGCCUUUUCUUAUGAGGACACUGACCCCUGCCCUCUGACCUCAUUUAUACUUAGUCACUUCCUCACACCAGAUGCAGGCCAAACUGGGGGUGAGGGCUUCCCUGUAUGAGUUGGGGGGACAAACAAAUAUUCAGACCGUAAGACCCGUUUGAAGCCACUAUGUUUUAUCGUGGUUUGUCACACAGCGGUAGUGAUGAGAGUGGACUGUGCGCUUCAUGCAGACAGAACCGCAUCCAUUCACCGCCUUGCCCCCAGCGGCUGGCUCGCGGUCAGCGCACAAGGCACUUUCACUACACAAAUAUCCUGGCCCGGGAGUUGGUGUUAACUAGCUUGGUGAUGGGAAAACUCCCAGGCACCGGGGAACCCAAACUCUGAUCUUGGUUCUGACACCAACUUGUGCUGCGUCAGGCAAGUCUCCCGACUUCUGGAAGCUAAGUGUCUUCACGUAUAAAAUGGGGAAAUAGACGGUUUCCCUGGCUCCUUGGUUCUAAAGUUCCAGAAGUUUCCUUAGCACUCAUUGCCCACUUCUGCCCAGCAUGACCCUGCCAUGUGGGUGGUGGGUGGUUUCACUGUCUGUGCUGUGGGUCACACUUCACGGCAAGCAUCGAGCUGGUCAGGGGAGCCUCUAGAGGGGCUUAUCUUCCUGGGGUCACCACGGGCCAGCUUCCAGGGUGUGGUCUCUUGGCGCUGUGGCAGCCCCAGACGGGCCCCAUCACAGAGACUCAUGUGAACACAGGCGCUUUCCUCGGCCACGGCGCCUGGGCCAGUCAGGAACAGCGUCCGGCACAGUUCCCUGAGGGCCUGGGUGUGAAAACUGGCUCUGAACCUCCUUCUCCUCAUCUGUAAAAUGGCACCAACACCUGUUCCGACUUCAUAGUGUUGGGGCAAAGAGUCCAUGACUCCACACAGGUGAGGAAGGUGUCCAGGGGCCCCUCGCUAAGGCAGAGCUGUGACUGUCUUACCCCUCCGUGUCCAGGCGGGUGCUCCAGGAGCGACACGAUCCUCAUGACAGGAGCUGCCUCGGCUUGGGGCUGCUGGAGGAGCCCCAUGUCCUUCCUCACCCCACACCCUCCCCUCCAAAUCCGUGGGCUCGCCAGCAGUAACUCCCCACCUGCCCAUACUCGGACCUCAGGGAAGACAUGGUUGUGCAGAGGUGCCCGUGAGGGACUAAACCUCGAGACUGUUCUGGAGCUCUUGAACCCCCCAAACCAGAGCAGAGAAAGAUGGCAGCCCUGGCGAGGGGUAAGGUAACAAGUCAUCAGGAUUAUUGGCUAGUGUUGCCUGAUUUCUCUGUGCUGGGACCUAGAGUGCCUUAUCUGAGUCUGGGCAUGACCCUUUGGAGUCCAGACUGUGACUGUCCCUUCUUUCUUAAAGAUGGGGAAACUGAGGUGUGGGCAGGCAUGGCCACACACAGCUAGCAAGUGCCAGCCCCAGGACCUGACCCGGAAGGGUGAGGAGAGCUUUGAGGGGAUCACGUCCCUGGCUGCUCCCCAAAGCCAGUGCCCAUCCUCAGGGCGGCAUUCCACCCCUUGGGGUUGAUCUGUGCAGAGAUGGGAACAGAGGGCUCCUUAGUUCCUGUUUGAUUGCUGGACACCCAGGGUCAAAAGUCUGCAAAGGAGAAAAAUUGAGAAACUUUCAUCCAAGCUUUGAAACCCACCUCUGUGACACCCCGCUGGUGCGUUCUCCUGUGCCCUGGGGCUGCCUAGGCCCCCACCCCAGGGCAGGAAAUGCCAGUGAAGACUGUGGCCCUUGCCCAGCAUUGUCCAGUGGUUACUUCGCUUAUUCCUCAUAACAACCCCCAACUCCAAGAUGUGGGUCCUAGAGGACAUCAUCCCCGUGUUGCAGAUGAAGAAACUGAGGCAGAGGGCAGAUAAAUUACUUACCUAAGAUAGGUAAGCAAAUAGGAAGAAACGGUUCUCCAGGCUGAGCACUCCAAGUUCAAGUGUUUCCAGACUCAUCCAAAACUGUCUCCCAGGAGGUUCAGGAACCUUGUCCCUGACAGCCAGUGGGUGCUUGCUGCCAGCUGGGCUACCAGCUCCCCCAAGCUACGUCAGCCCCAGGGGGUGCCACUUUAUGGAUGCGGCUGAGGCAGUGGGGCUAACCUGCUGGAAAGUGGCACAGUUUGGAUUCAGAGCAGGCAGGUGGCCUUCCCUUCCUGUCCUGCUGUCUUGCAACUUCCCUUAGUCCUGGUCCCUCAACUGGCUUCUGCCCCUCAGCCGCUGGAACCAUGACAUCAAGAUCUGGCAGCCGUUGCAGCAGUGAGAGGGCUGUGCUCCAUCUGUGCACAGGUGCCCCGCAGGUGCCAAUCCUUGCACCAUCCUGUCAAGAGGGUUGCCCUUGCGCACCUCCCACCUAGAUUCCCUUCUACCUGCCCCAGCGAACAGCCAUGCUGACCUGUAUCACCUGCCUUAUCCUUAAGCCUCAUAGAAAUGGAAUCAUACAUUUAUGUCUGGCUUCUUUUGUUCAGUGUUGUGUGACAGAUCCAUCUGAUUUGGUGUGUGUACCUGCACUUUUUGUGUCAGUGCUGCAUAGUAUUCUAUUAUGUGAAUAUACUACAGUUUA